rnacentral:rRNA from 1 species
GUGGGGAAUAUUGGACAAUGGGCGAAAGCCUGAUCCAGCCAUGCCGCGUGUGUGAAGAAGGUCUUCGGAUUGUAAAGCACUUUAAGUUGGGAGGAAGGGCAGUAAGUUAAUACCUUGCUGUUUUGACGUUACCGACAGAAUAAGCACCGGCUAACUUCGUGCCAGCAGCCGCGGUAAUACGAAGGGUGCAAGCGUUAAUCGGAAUUAAUGGGCGUAAAGCGCGCGUAGGUGGUUUUGUAAGUUGGAGGUGAAAUCCCCGGGCUCAACCUGGGAACUGCCUCCAAAACUACUGAGCUAGAGUACGGUAGAGGGUAGUGGAAUAUCCUGUGUAGCGGUGAAAUGCGUAGAUAUAGGAAGGAACACCAGUGGCGAAGGCGACUACCUGGACUGAUACUGACACUGAGGUGCGAAAGCGUGGGGAGCAAACAGGAUUAGAAACCCUAGUAGUCC